rnacentral:tRNA from 1 species
AGGAUCAUUAUUGGAAUGAAAUAUCUAGCAAGAGGCUGUUGCUGUCUAGUAAUGUGCACGCCUUUUGUGGAAAAAUAAACCCUUAGCAGCAACUUGUUUCGAUCAAGUGACCUCAGGGUUAUGGGCCCUGCGCGCUUCCACUGCGCCAUGCUGCUGUGUGGGGACUUAUUUCUUCUCCCUGUGCACCACUUGUAGACUUUGUCUGUCUAUGAAUCACAUAACCUUUAUGAAUGUAUCUUUGUGGCCCAUUAAUAUAUAUAUAUAUAUACAACUUUCAACAAUGGAUCUCUUGGCUCUCGCAUCGAUGAAGAACGCAGCGAAAUGCGAUAAGUAAUGUGAAUUGCAGAAUUCAGUGAAUCAUCGAAUCUUUGAACGCAUCUUGUCCUCUUUGGUAUUCCGAAGAGCAUGCCUGUUUGAGUGUCAUUAAUCUCUCAAAACUUCAUUUUUAUGAAGUAAUUUGGAUAUUGGGAGUCAUUGCUGAUGGCUGUUGAAGCUCAGCUUUCCUUAAAUUCCUUGAGGACGAAAUGUUGGUGUGUGAUAAUAAUUGUCUAUACCAAACAAGUCCUUUUGCUAUCUUAAUGAUUGACCUCAAAUCAAGCAAGAUUACCCGCUGAACUUAAGCAUAUCAAUAAGCGGAGGAAAAGAAACUAACAAGGAUUCCCCUAGUAACUGCGAGUGAAGCGGGAAAAGCUCAAAUUUAAAAUCUGGCAGUGGUUCACUGCCCGAGUUGUAAUCUAGAGAAGUGUUGCUCACACUGGACCAUGUAUAAGUCUUCUGGAAUGAAGCGUCAUAGAGGGUGAGAAUCCCGUCUUUGACAUGGACUCCCAGUGUAUUUGUAGCAUGCUCUCAAAGAGUCGAGUUGUUUGGGAAUGCAGCUCUAAAUGGGUGGUAACCUCCAUCUAAAGCUAAAUAUUGGCGAGAGACCGAUAGUGAACAAGUACCGUGAGGGAAAGAUGAAAAGAACUUUGGAAAGAGAGUUAAAAAGUACGUGAAAUUGUUGAAAGGGAAACGCUUGAAGUCAGUCACAUUGGCCAGGGAUCAACUUGCUUAAGUGUACUUCCUGGCUGAUGGGCCAACAUCAGCUUUGACUGUCAGAGAAGGGUAGGGGGAAUGUGGCACCCUUCUUGGGUGUGUUAUAGCCCUCUGUCAUAUAUGGCGGUUGGGGCUGAGGAAUGCAGCGCGCCACAAGGCCGGG